ensembl:lncRNA
GUUCAGUGUGUGUUCUGAUUUGCUCUACCUACCCCGCUGUCGCUUUUCGCUUUGGUUUACGAGGGGGUGACAAAGACUGCGAACUCCAAGUGGGAGCAAAGUAGCGUGAUUUUGUCCCGGAGGAGGAGGGUGAACCACGAGAAGCAGGGUAAAACCCUGAAAGGCCUUACAAGCAAUGUAGGAAAGAAACCCUGCUACCCGACGCACAGAGGUACUGAUCGCUGCUUUGGAUAAUGUUGGCCUUUAUAGUGACCUCAAAUGAGACUGUGCUUGACAAAGGGAAGAGUAGAUGAGCCAGUUUGGACCAGCUCUCUAGGAAUAAAGUGUCUUUGUG